GAUGAAGAACGUAGCGAAAUGCGAUACGUAAUGUGAAUUGCAAAUUCAGUGAAUCAUCGAGUCUUUGAACGCACAUUGCGCCCCCUGGUAUUCCGGGGGGCAUGCCUGUCCGAGCGUCAUUGCUGCCCUCAAGCACGGCUUGUGUGUUGGGCCCCGUCCUCCGAUCCCGGGGGACGGGCCCGAAAGGCAGCGGCGGCACCGCGUCCGGUCCUCGAGCGUAUGGGGCUUUGUCACCCGCUCUGUAGGCCCGGCCGGCGCUUGCCGAUCAACCCAAAUUUUUUAUCCAGGUUGACCUCGGAUCAGGUAGGGAUACCCGCUGAACUUAAGCAUAUCAAUAACGGAGGA
rnacentral:misc_RNA from 1 species